rnacentral:rRNA from 1 species
UACGUAGGGUGCAAGCGUUAAUCGGAAUUACUGGGCGUAAAGCGUGCGUAGGCGGUUCGUUAAGUCUGUCGUGAAAUCCCCGGGCUCAACCUGGGAAUGGCGAUGGAUACUGGCGAGCUAGAGUGUGUCAGAGGAUGGUGGAAUUCCCGGUGUAGCGGUGAAAUGCGUAGAGAUCGGGAGGAACAUCAGUGGCGAAGGCGGCCAUCUGGGACAACACUGACGCUGAAGCACGAAAGCGUGGGGAGCAAACAGG